rnacentral:ncRNA from 1 species
UAGAUCCGUCGGAGAGACGAGCUAGCGAAACGCGAUUCGUAAUCGUAGUCUUCGGUCAGAUUUUAAUUAAAUAAAACAACACGUAACGACGAGUACGAACGCGUAACGCGGAACGCGUCAACGCGACGGAUCACGAGCGCGGCACGAGCCACGCAAUGUGAUUAAUGUUUUUUAUGCAGCCGGCCCUCAGACAGGAGUGGUCCUGGAUGUGUCUCCACGGACCGCAAUGUGCGCACGCAUUCGGACGGUAUCAUUAAACUAAUCACGCACGCGUUGAAAAUUCCUAAAAAAAAUUUUCUCAUACGCGUCCGGCCCGACGCAAGUCAACGUCGUAUUUUCUCGUUUCCUGCCUUAGUGCGGACGCGAGUGCGACGCGUCUGUUGUCGCAGCCGUGCAGUCUCGGACUAGUGCGUGUUUGUUUGAACGUCUGCGAUGAUACAGUUUCGGGCACUCGCAGGACCCGUCUUGAAACACGGACCAAGGAGUCUAGCAUGUGUGCGAGUCAUUGAGUUUUAUAAAUUUUUAACAUUAAACUGAAAGGCGUAACGAAAGUGAAGGCGAACGCUCGACGUUCGCUCAGGGAGGAUGAAAUUAUCGAGCUACGUUCGUGAUUUUCGCACUCCCGAGGCGUCUCGUUUCCAAUCAGUGAAUGAAGGCGCGCUCUGAGCACAAAUGCUGGGACCCGAAAGAUGGUGAACUAUG